ACAACGAAGCACCAGCAGGAUAAGUCUCAAGCUUCCUUGAAACACAGAAAGAAACUAUUGCCCGUCAAGUCCUUACAGAAAUCACCUGUGCCAGAGAGUUCUUCACAAGGAGCAGCCAUGCCUAAGAGUUUAUCUCAGGAAGCAUCCAUGCACACUGGGACCCCACAAAACCUGUCUUGUGACCAUCUUGACAAAGCUACAGUGGAGGCAACAGAACCCUACAGGUCCCCAUAUAAUAAGGCAAGGAUGUCACAGGGAGUCUCCCAACCUGCCAAGGGUCAAAAAGAAGCACCCAUGCCUGAGUGUUCCUCAGAGGAAGAAGAACCCACGCUUGUGUGUUCCCCAGAGGAAGAACCGAUGCUUGUGUGUUCCAUAGAGGAAGAACCCAUGCUUGUGUGUUACCCAGAGGAAGAACCCAUGCUUGUGUGUUUCUCAGAGAAAGCAUCCAAGCCUGAGUUUUCCCCACAGGAAGCACUCAUGCCUGAGUCUUCCCCUCAGGAAGUAUCUUCCCCUCGUCAAACACCCUCGCCCUCUGGCAUCCCUGAUGAAGCUCCCAUGCCCAAGUUAUUCAAUCUUGGAAUAUCUUCGCCCGUUUCUUCCACAAGGAAGCACCAGCAGGAUAAGUCUCAAGCUUCCUUGAAACACAGAAAGAAACUAUUGCCCGUCAAGUCCUUACAGAAAUCACCUGUGCCAGAGAGUUCUUCACAAGGAGCAGCCAUGCCUGAGUGUUCCUCUCAGGAAGCAUCCAUGCACACCGGGACCCCACAAAGCCUUUCUCUUCUUACAGUCCAUCUUGACAAAGCAAAGGUGGAGGAACCAUACAGGUCCUCAUCUAAUAAGGCUAGGACGUCACAGGGAGUAUCCCAACCUGCCAAGACUCUGAAAGAAACACCCAUGCCUGAAUGUUCCUCAGAGGAAGAACCCCUGCUUGUGUAUUCCCCGGAGGAAGAACCCAUGAUUGUGUGUUCCCCAGAGGAAGAACCUAUGCUUGUGUGUUCCCUGGAGGAAGAACCCAUGCUUGUGUGUUCCCUGGAGAGACUACCUGAGCCUGAGUUUUCCCCACAGGGAGCACCAACUCUGUCCCUUCAGCAAUACAAUAAAUGUGCUCCAUGCAAAAAACAGCACACAAUAAAGGAUGCGAAGGUACAGCAGAAGCCUCAAAGAAGGAGAAAAAAGAGGAACCAAAGGCAGCAGGCAAGACCUUGUCCGAGCUCCCAACCUAAUCUGAAAAGAAAAUAUGCAUGUAGCAGAAACAAACUGGACAACUUAAAUGUAUGUCAGCUUUCAAGGAGGAAAAAUACAAACAACAGAGGUCAACGCUUCUUUCACCUCAGAGCCUGUCCAUGCAGCCAUAUUUAUUUGAGAAGUCAGCAGUCGAGACAGCAAAACUCUUGUGCCCGUCAACCGCCAAAUGCAGACCAAAUGCAAAGAGCUCAUUGGAACCCUUACCCAAGAUCCUGUCCACGGUACCAACCCAGUUGGUGGAGACAGCAAAACCCGCAUACCCAUCAAAGAGGACCAAUGCAUCUGAGGCAAAGAACUGUAAGACUUCCCCCCAGAGCAUAUCCAUGGCCCAGGCAGUGGAACCCUCAUCGCCCUCAAUCACGACCAUCAUAUCUGGGACAAAGAGCUCAGAGAGCUCCCCCAAGAGCACAUCCAUGGUUCCAGCCAAGUUUGUGGAGGCAACAGAAUGUUUAUGCUUCUCAAUCACAACCACGGCAUCUGGGGCAAAGAGCUAUGAGGCUUCAUCCAAGAACAUAUCCAUGGUCCCAUCCCUAUUUUAGGAGGCAGAAGAACCCUCAUGCCCAUCAAUCACGACCAUCACAUUUAGGGCAAAGAGAACUGAGGGUUCAUCCAAGAGUGCAUCCAUCAGUCCAGCCCCACUUGUGGAGGCAACAGAAUGCUUAUGCCCCUCAAUCAAGACCAUGGCAUCUGGGGCAAAGAGCUCUGAGGCUUCACCCAAGAGCAUAUCUAUGGUCCCAUCCCCAUUUUUGGAGGCAGCAAAAUCCUAAUGCCUAUCAGUCACGACUAUCACAUCUGGGGCAAAGAGCUCUGAGGGUUCACCCAAGAGCCUAUUCAUGAUUCCACUCCAACUCAUGAGUCACCUAGUUCGUAAAAUAUUUGGUGACUAAAAGCCCCAACUGAAAACAUUUUUAUACUUUAGAAAAAUUUACAUUUAUUUUUAUAAUCUGUGCAUUUGUGAGAAAAUAUCUGUGCAUUUGUAAGGAAAUAUCUGCAUUUAUAAGAAAAUGUGCAUUUUUAUGAAAAUAUCUGUGCAUUAGUAAGAAAAUAUCUGUGCAUUUGUAAGAAAGUAUCUCUGCAUUUGUAAAAAAAUAAAUAAAAAUCUGUUAAUUUAUCA
ensembl:lncRNA